CUGAUGUUCCAGUGUAACAAGUUAAAUUGACAUUCUAGUGUAACUAGUUAACUUGAGUGUAACAAAUUAACUUGAGUGUAACAAGUUAACUUGAGGUUCCAGUGUAACAAGUCAACCUGAUGUUCAAGUGUAACAAGUUAACUUGAGGUUCCAGUGUAACAAGUUAACCUGAGGUUCUAGUGUAACAAGUUAACCUGAGGUUCCAGUGUAACAAGUUAGCAUGAGGUUCCAGUGUAACAAGUUAACCUGAGGUUCCAGUGUAACAAGUUAGCAUGAGGUUCCAGUGUAACAAGUUAACCUGAGGUUCCAGUGUAACAAGUUAGCAUGAGGUUCCAGUGUAACAAGUUAACCUGAGGUUCCAGUGUAACAAGUUAACCUUAGGUUCUAGUGUAACAAGUUAACUUUAGGUUCUAGUGUAACAAGUUAACAUUAGGUUCCAGUGUAACAAGUCAACCUGAGGUUCUAGUGUAACAAGUUAACCUGAGGUUCCAGUGUAACAAGUUAACCUGAGGUUCCAGUGUAACAAGUCAACUUGAGGUUCCAGUAUAAAAAGUUAACCUGAGGUUCCAGUGUAACAAGUUAAAUUGACGUUCUAGUGUAACAAGUUAACUUGAGUGUAACAAAUUAACUUGAGUGUAACAAGUCAACCUGAGGUUCCAGUGUAACAAGUUAACCUGAGGUUCCAGUGUAACAAGUUAACCUGAGGUUCUAGUGUAACAAGUUAACCUG